UAUUUUUCUGUGUGAAUUGUUAGCACAUAGAGGCCCCUUAAGGUUUCUGGGAUUGAGCAGCAUUUCUAGUUUCCUUCGCUUAUCAAAGAACAGCUCUUGUGUCCUAGAGAGAAGAUAUCCUUAUCAGACAGGAACAAGGGGACAUGGAGAAGCCUUGGAGAAACUCACCAGAGUUGUUUUGGUAUGAAUACAAAAGGCUCUAAAAGCAGUGUCCUGGAGUUUGCUGUUGCUUCUGAGAGAGAUCAAUGGGUAACUGGAAAGGUUAUGUUUGUUACGCCAAGUUUCAUCUUUAAUUACAUGAUGGAGCAUUUCCAUGUAGAACAGCAAGUGCUGCAGUGAUUCACCAUUGACAUUGAUCUCAUUCUGCUGUUUUUGUUUCACUGUUAUUUCAAAUUCAUUGGUAGUAGGAGAUAGGAGUAUUUUAAGACAAAGAGUAGCCUACUAACAGAAGAUGCCUGUGUUUCCUUAAGGGAUUAAAAGACAGAGGUGGAGAUAGGAAGGAGAGGAGUGCUGUUGCUUCACAUAUGUAGAGACAAUUUUCUUAUUUCAAGGAGAAAUGAACUGAGGAGGCCAUUUGAAGUCCCUCCCCUUUCACAUCCAACAGUCCCUAUUCUCCCUAUCUUCAAAAUCCUUAUAAAGCAACAUCUCCUUCAGGAGGAUUUCCCCGAUCAGGCUCAUCUCCAGGCCUUAUUUUUUCCACAAAACCUCUGUACUUGUUCCUUAACCCCUUAAGCACUUGUGCUCUCCUCCCCUUCUUUCUCCCC